rnacentral:rRNA from 1 species
GACGAACGCUGGCGGCGUGCCUAAUACAUGCAAGUUGAGCGCUGAAGGUUGGUACUUGUACCGACUGGAUGAGCAGCGAACGGGUGAGUAACGCGUGGGGAAUCUGCCUUUGAGCGGGGGACAACAUUUGGAAACGAAUGCUAAUACCGCAUAAAAACUUUAAACACAAGUUUUAAGUUUGAAAGAUGCAAUUGCAUCACUCAAAGAUGAUCCCGCGUUGUAUUAGCUAGUUGGUGAGGUAAAGGCUCACCAAGGCGAUGAUACAUAGCCGACCUGAGAGGGUGAUCGGCCACAUUGGGACUUGGACACGGCCCAAACUCCUACGGGAGGCAGCAGUAGGGAAUCUUCGGAAAUGGGCGAAAGUCUGACCGAGCAACGCCGCGUGAGUGAAGAAGGUUUUCGGAUCGUAAAACUCUGUUGGUAGAUAAGAAAGUUGGUGAGAGUGGAAAGCUCAUCAAGUGACGGUAACUACACAGAAAGGGACGGCUAACUACGUG